GUCCCAAGGGUAUGGCUGUUCGCCAUUUAAAGUGGUACGCGAGCUGGGUUUAGAACGUCGUGAGACAGUUCGGUCCCUAUCUGCCGUGGACGUUUGAGAUUUGAGAGGGGCUGCUCCUAGUACGAGAGGACCGGAGUGGACGAACCUCUGGUGUUCCGGUUGUCACGCCAGUGGCAUUGCCGGGUAGCUAUGUUCGGAAUAGAUAACCGCUGAAAGCAUCUAAGCGGGAAACUAGCCUCAAGAUGAGAUCUCACUGGGACCUUGAGUCCCCUGAAGGGCCGUCGAAGACUACGACGUUGAUAGGUUGGGUGUGUAAGCGCUGUGAGGCGUUGAGCUAACCAAUACUAAUUGCCCGUGAGGCUUGACCAUAUAACACCCAAGCAAUU
rnacentral:rRNA from 1 species